rnacentral:rRNA from 1 species
CAGCAGCCGCGGUAAUACGGAGGGUGCAAGCGUUAAUCGGAAUUACUGGGCGUAAAGCGCACGCAGGCGGUCUGUCAAGUCGGAUGUGAAAUCCCCGGGCUCAACCUGGGAACUGCAUCCGAAACUGGCAGGCUAGAGUCUUGUAGAGGGGGGUAGAAUUCCAGGUGUAGCGGUGAAAUGCGUAGAGAUCUGGAGGAAUACCGGUGGCGAAGGCGGCCCCCUGGACAAAGACUGACGCUCAGGUGCGAAAGCGUGGGGAGCAAACAGGAUUAGAUACCCCGGUAGUCCCUGUCUCUUAUAC